AGACAGCAGCCGCCGCGGUAAUACGUAGGUCCCGAGCGUUGUCCGGAUUUAUUGGGCGUAAAGCGAGCGCAGGCGGUUAGAUAAGUCUGAAGUUAAAGGCUGUGGCUUAACCAUAGUACGCUUUGGAAACUGUUUAACUUGAGUGCAAGAGGGGAGAGUGGAAUUCCAUGUGUAGCGGUGAAAUGCGUAGAUAUAUGGGGGAACACCGGUGGCGAAAGCGGCUCUCUGGUUUGUAACUGACGCCGAGGCUCGAAAGCGUGGGGAGCAAACAGGAUUAGAUACCCGAGUAGUCCCUGUCUCUUAUACA
rnacentral:rRNA from 1 species